rnacentral:rRNA from 1 species
UACGUAGGCAGCAAACGUUGUCCGGAAUUACUGGGCGUAAAGAGCUCGUAGGUGGUUUGUCGCGUUGUCCGUGAAAACUCACAGCUCAACUGUGGGCGUGCGGGCGAUACGGGCAGACUGGAGUACUGCAGGGGAGACUGGAAUUCCUGGUGUAGCGGUGGAAUGCGCAGAUAUCAGGAGGAACACCGGUGGCGAAGGCGGGUCUCUGGGCAGUAACUGACGCUGAGGAGCGAAAGCGUGGGGAGCGAACAGG